AGAAUCAACGCUGGCGGCGCGCUUAACACAUGCAAGUCGAACGAGAAAGCGGGGGCAACCUCGUGAGUAAAGUGGCGUACGGGUGAGUAACACGUGGGUAAUCUACCUCCGGGUACGGAAUAACGCUGGGAAACCGGCGCUAAUACCGUAUAAGCUUUAGCAAGGAAAGCGGUUUUGUGAAAGCAAAAGCCGCGCCGGGAGAGGAGCCCGCGGCCGAUUAGCUAGUUGGUGAGGUAACGGCCCACCAAGGCGAAGAUCGGUAGCCGGCCUGAGAGGGCACACGGCCACACUGGCACUGAAACACGGGCCAGACUCCUACGGGAGGCAGCAGUGGGGAAUCUUGCACAAUGGGGGGCAACCCUGAUGCAGCGACGCCGCGUGAACGAUGAAGCCCUUCGGGGUGUAAAGUUCUUUCGGCAGGGAGGAAACAUGACGGUACCUGCAGAAGCAGCUGCGGCUAACUACGCGCCAGCAGCCGC
rnacentral:rRNA from 1 species